GCUCAGUACCGCGCCCUGCUGCAGGAGGGGCAGCAAGACAUUGUAAUGCCUCAAGGAGCUCUCCAAGGCGCUCUCCAAGGAGGAAGAACCUCCCACUCCUAUUCUUCCACUUCCUACUCCCACGGACAAUCUGUUGAGAAGUCAGGGCAAUCAAGAGUGUGUUAAGACACCACCGACGCUCUGGUCUUCUCUGAUCUUCCUACUUCCACCUGAGCAGCCCCGGGUACAAAGUGCUGAUACACAGCAUGUGCAUGGUGGUGCGCCUGCCCAGUGCACAGACUGAUCUACAAGCAUCAUCCAUCAAGCCAAGAGGAAUCACUGCCAGGACUCUCCCCAAAUUAUCUACUUCUUCUUUUUGUACUGUUUUUCGUAAUGCAGUCACUGUAAUCCUCGUACAGUAAUCUGCAGGGCCAUUGGCAUCUGCUUUCUGCUGGUAACGGUGCCUCUAAUAAAACUUUACUUUUCUGCAAUGCAAAGAAACCUGUGUGUCCGACGAGUGAUUUGGCAUAUUAAUGCUGCAUAAACC